rnacentral:rRNA from 1 species
CGGUAAUACCCGAUAAUCCCUCUUGGGCAAAGGCUUGCUGCCCCGGGAUCGGGCAAGGCGCUAUCAGCUUGUUGGUGAGGUAAAGGCUCACCAAGCCUUAGACGGGUAGCGGGUGUGAGAGCAUGACCCGCCGCAUCGGGACUGAGACACUGCCCGGACUCCUACGGGAGGCUGCAGCGACGAAUAUUCCGCAAUGCGCGAAAGCGUGACGGAGCAAUGCCGCGUGAAGGAUGAAGCCUCUCGGGGUGUAAACUUCUGUCGGUCUUAGAAAGUACUGAUCAGGACCAAAGGAAGGGCCGGCUAAGUUCGUGCCAGCAGCCGCGGUAAUACGAACGGCCCGAGCGUUAAUCGGAAUCACUGGGCUUAAAGCGUACGCAGGCGGACCAGAAAGUACCUUGUGAAAUCCCUCGGCUCAACCGAGGAACUGCUUGGUAUACUGCUGGUCUUGAGUGUGGUAGGGGCGGUCGGAACGAUAGGUGGAGCGGUGAAAUGCGUAGAUAUCUAUCGGAACGCCUAAGGCGAAGGCAGAUGGCUGGGCCGAUUCUGACGCUCAUGCACGAAAGCGUGGGGAGCGAACGGGAUUAGAUACCCCGGUAGUCCACGCCCUAAACGAUGUAAACUAGAUCGCAGAGACUCUGACGUCGUUGUGAUCGAAGCAAAAGUGUUAAGUUUACCGCCUGGGGAGUACGGUCGCAAGGCUAAAACUCAAAGGAAUUGACGGGGGCUCACACAAGCGGUGGAGCAUGUGGCUUAAUUCGAAUCAACGCGAAGAACCUUAUCCAGGGUUUGACAUGCACGGAUACCCUUUUCGAAAGAAGAGUAAGUUGCCCUUUGGGUGAAACGUGCACAGGUGCUGCAUGGCUGUCGUCAGCUCGUGCUGUGAAGUGUCGGGUUAAGUCCCUUAACGAGCGAAACCCCUAUCUUUUCUUUAGUUGCCAGCGAGUAAUGUCGGGGACUCUAGAGAGACUGCCGGUGUUAAACCGGAGGAAGGUGGGGAUGACGUCAAGUCCUCAUGGCCUUUAUGCCCUGGGCUGCACACGUGCUACAAUGCGGCGUACAGAGCGAAGCAAUAUCGUAAGGUGGAGCAAAUCGCACAAAGCGCCGCUCAGUUCGGAUUGUGGUCUGCAACUCGACCACAUGAAGCUGGAAUCGCUAGUAAUCGCGUAUCAGCUACGACGCGGUGAAUACGUUCCUGAGCCUUGUACA